GCCCGUUGCCAGUGUGUAUAAUUCAGAAACCAUGUGAGUGAGGCUGACGUGUGCAGCUUGGGUGACAGAGGUGGCCUGGCAGGAGGAACAAGACUCUGGGCCCCAUGCUGGCGCAUCAGACCAUGGGGCCUGUGGCUUUCUGGGCAGCCGAGACAGCCAGGGGUCAACAGAAGAGCCCCCCAGGACCAGGACAUCAUGAGUAGCUAUGAAGGCUGCCUGUGGCAUCCCAGGUGGUUUGGGGCCAGGCACUGCAUUGACAUUCCCAGCAGAGCUGAGGUUCUCGCUAUGCAGUCCUGGCUGGCCUGGAACUCAUGGUGAUCCUCCUGCCUCAGCCUCCUGAGUGCUUAUGCGUAUGGAUUACCAUGCCCAGCUUGUUAUUCAACUUCUCCGAGCCUCGGUCCUCACCUAUAAAUGGGUUAGUAUGUGUACCUCACAGGUUCCCGGUGGGAAUUAAAGGCAAUAACUUGUUUGUAA